ensembl:lncRNA
UGAAAACACACAUUCACAUUUAGAUACUGAGGAUUUUUAUUCUUGAAAAAAAGACCAUCUUAUGGAUAUUUCUCACACUUUUAAAGUGGAAAUGUUCUCUGUAACAUCUGCAUCUCUCUGCUGGACUUUACUUUUUGCUUACCUCCUCUGUGUCUCUGCAGACCAGAAAAACAUCAAAGCAGUGGUUGGACAGAUGGUCACUCUGCCAUGUCAAGCUCCAAAAAACAACAAGUCCAUCAUUGCUGCAGAGUGGAGCAGAAAUGAUCUGGGGGAUAAAUAUUUACUUUUGUACUGGAAAGAGCAGUUUGAUCCAACCAAACAGCAUCCAUCUUUCAAGAACCGGGUUGAUCUGCAGGACAUACAGAUGAAGGAUGGAGACGUGUCUUUGAUUCUGAAGGAAGUGACGACUGCGGACAGUGGAACAUACGAGUGUCGUGUUGUACAGAGAGGAACAAAUAUGGAUGAUGAAACCAUCAGCACCACCUACCUUAGAGUCGUUGCUCCAGAGGCACCUCAAGAUGUCUGCAAGCCAACUGAAAGAUGAAUCUCUUCAGGAAGUCCUGGGUCUGCCCCAGGAGAACUUCCCCUAGUAAACACAGAAGGGUAACUGAUCACGGGCAGGGUGUAGGUGUUGAUAGCCUGGAUCUUGUUUUUCUUUUCAGUUGACUCCCAUUCACCUGUGGGAUCCCAGGUACUUGUAGCUGUCCUCUGUAUCUGCAAUGUUGCUUUCUGGUAGUUUGAUCCCCUCCAUUCUGACUACCUUCCCUCUCUUUGUUAUCUUCCAACUACAUUUCUCUGAACGACAUUCCUUUGUCAUUGCUGUAUAGCCUGGUAGUGUGGAUCAGUGAAUCGAUGUCUCGUUCACUCUUAGCAUACAGCUUGAUGUCAUCCAUGUACAUGAGGUGGCUGAUAACUGUUCCAUUCUGUAGUCGAUAUCCUUAGCCAUGUUGUCAGUGAUCUCACUGAGGGGGUUCAGGCCUAUGCAGAACAGCAGUAGGGACAGAGCAUCUCCUUGGUAAAUUCUGCACUUGAUGAUGACUUGUUCUAUGGGUUUGAAGUUGACCUCUAGUGCUGUUCACUACAUCAGUAGGGCUUUAGAGUGUGAUGUUGUGGCCAGGUUUUUAGGUUGAGGCGCCAUUUAAGCAGGCCAAACAAAGGGCAAAAGCAUACAGAUAAUAUCAGCCAUGGUCGGUAUUUGCUUUGUUGUUGGUUGUAAUGUUAGAUUGAAUGAUUGGGAAGAGAAUAAGCUGGAGAAUGGGAUCUCUUUUUAUCGUUUCCCCUCCUGAAAGCAACGUCAGGGAUCUCAUGUAUCAGAUAUUAACAAAUGAAGACGUCAGGCUUGGAUAGCAGAGGUGAGACGAACUGAUACCGAGUUCUCUACCAUCCGCAGAUUUCUGUUGGUGUGCUCAGACUUUUUGUUCCGGUAAGUUCUAAACAAAUUCAUAUUGCUCUUUAUGGGCUUUUAGUUUUAUUUUCAAUGUGCUGAGGUCAUAGAAAAAUAGAGCAAACAUCCUAAUGUGUGAUUCUGCAGAACUACAUUCUGUUUAUGGAGUAGCUUAUUAUUUAGCAUUAUUGCAGGUAAAUCAGCCUAUGAAAUGGAUGAAACAAAUCCAGACUGGGCACAUAGGGCAUAAUGUUAGACUUUAAGUGACACACAGUUCAUUUUUGAAUGUAUAAUCUCAAGCUGACUUACCUAUGGCUGAACAACAACCUCCUCACAAUGUGGAGGCUUAAAAACGGCCAAAUCUUGUACCCAAAAGUUUGUGAAUUAGAUGUGCGCCUCCAGGGAUUUAUAAUUCUGAAACUGAUUUGCCGUGUAUGCGUUGACUCUACAGACAAGGUACGUAAAGAUAUCAGGGUAGGACAAUGGCAGUAGGUCUUAAGGGUUUGUACUCCAGUGCCGUAUUUCAUACGGGUCCAUAUUAUCAGUGCACGCUAUUUUUUCCAAGUACCGUCCCUUCACAUCUGGGCGCAAUCGGUCUUGAUACAGUCCUUUGUCUUUUGAGCUGAUUUUAAGCAUGGUUCUAGUAAUCGUCCUUCCAACACAGUGUGUUUGUUUUGAUUCGUGGCCUGCUAAAAUGGUGCCAUACUCCCACAAUGCAUUGAGGCAUUAUGUCAACUGCAAGGCCCUAUAUUGAGUGAAGGCUCUUAGGGUCCUGUUGAUCUUGUACAGUUCAGGAUCCCGGUGUGGACCAUUAAGUUAUGAGUUUUCUUGUAGUCAGUUCAGGCAGUGCACAGGUUGGUCAGCCUGGUCUUGCAAUCUCGGGUGACUGCUCUGCACACACUUUUUUAUUUCAGUAACAAAAUGGAGUGAUCAGUGGCCCCGACAUCAUAUGUCACAACAAAGUGGAGCUCUCUCUCUCUCUCUCUAACCCUCGUUCUCUUUACUCCCUAAGUUUCUUCCCUGUCUCUCCUUUUCUCUGUGUGUAUGUUAUGUCUCUCUAUGUCACUGUCUCCUUGUUUCUGUCUGUUUGUCUUUCUUUGAUCUUUAUCUGCUGCGGGUGCUUAAGGCUCUACACCCUGGGGUUGAUUUACUGUUCUGUUUACUUGAUUUUUCUUGAUUUUUUUUCUUUGUGUAAAAGCUCAAAAAACUGUGUUUCAAAGACCUCUGAUUUUCUCCAGAGGAUGUUUUUUUGUGUAUGUUUUGUCUUUUUUAAUUUGGUUUUAAUAAGUUGAAUCUACAAGUGACAUGCCUGACCAAGUUUAUCAUUUUGGCUCUAGAUGUUUGAGCUGACAUCAAAGGGUGCAGACAGCACACACAGUCUUCAUCCUGACUGUAAUGUACACUAUGAUAGGGUUUCAUUUAAAAUCAACACGUGAGCAGCCCACAGCCAAUCUGUUAAUCUGUAAUUCUCACAACAUUUUUUUUCCUUUUUUAAAAAAAAAUUAAACUGAGACUUUUGCUGUAAAUGUCAUAAAUAACAGGAGAUGGCUGUGCAGGUAAAUUCAUUUUAUAAUCCACUUGAUUAUGGUGAUCUGGUUUAUAUACUGUUACAACAUUGAUCAUAGAUUAUAUCUAGUAAUUACUUUUAGGAUUAUAUCUAUAUAUAAUCUAGAUACUGUUACUGGAUAUAAUCAAAGAGCAGAGGUACCCAAAGAGUGUCUGCAACAGAGCCUUGAAAGUAAACGCCAUGAAAUACUGCCCUCUUCUGUUCACUGAGGAGGACUGAUACAGAAAUAUAAGAUACAGAAAUAAAGACCAAUAAAGAUUCAAGAGGCUUCAAGGGGAAGAGACAUGUAAUGACACUUUCAUGGUCACGGGACACUUUAACAUUGGGUGCACAUCUUGUUCAGACUUAAUUUGAAAAAAAAAAAAAAGUAUUAAAUUAUCUGCUGCACAAAGCAAAGCAUUCUCUGUAUAUAUUUAUUUAGCUGCAGCUGCCUUUGUAUAUAUUCUGUUGAUCUCUGAACAUGAACAUAUACUGUGUUUCUAAAUGAUGCAUUUAUCAACCACUCUAGUUAAACUUUAUAUCUUUUUUAUCUUGAAAAAAAAGUUUAAGAUUUAAUAAUCCCAAAGAUUUUUGACUGCACAUGUUAUUAAUAAAAAAUGAUGCAAAAUCUGUAAGGUUUACAGAGAUUAUGUACAAGCUGUUAUUUAUGAUCCCAAAGGGAUACAUAUCAGACUAAAGUUUGUAAAAUAGCAUUCAUAUGAAUGUCUCUAUGUAGAGGACACUGAACAGGAAGGAGGGGUUAUCGUCUGACACAAGAAAAGAUUUCUACUUGUCAGUAAAGUGUUGCUCUGAAUGUGCAGCAGUCAGGCUGUACUAAACUAUAGUGACAUCAUUUCUGUCUCUAGUAAGACGACCUGCCAGUUAUGUAUCUUUAAACUAAAUUUGAACCCUUUAGUUUUGCAGUUUCCUUCUCUCUGUUUCUUUUCACCUGCUGGUGUCUGAAUACUAGAAAGAUUAGGCUUGAUUGAUCACUACACUCACUUCUGUUGAAAAAUCUAAAUAAGUAUAAACCCUAUUAGCCAAGAAACAAGGUGCAUAAUAUAUAUAUGAGCAAAUAAAAAGACCAGCAAAAAACACAUACACACGGGUACGCACACACACAGGCACUCACGUGCUUGUGCAUACACACACAGACACAGAGUUUGCAGCACACCAUGGGGGUUUUAUGAUGGGGUCACUUCUAUAAAGCUGACUGUAACAAAUAAAGGAGUGGAAGAUCUGCAGAGGG